GAUCCUGGCUCAGGAUGAACGCUAGCUACAGGCUUAACACAUGCAAGUCGAGGGGCAGCAUGGUCUUAGCUUGCUAAGGCCGAUGGCGACCGGCGCACGGGUGAGUAACACGUAUCCAACCUGCCGUCUACCUCGUUGGACACGUCCUUCUAGGAAAAGGAAGUAAUUAACUAACAAGAGUGGCAUCAUGACGUCCGCAUUGUUCACAUGUAAGUUAAAGGUACGUUCCGGUAGACGAGUGGGGA
rnacentral:rRNA from 1 species